CUCCUACGGGAGGCAGCAGUGAGGAAUAUUGCGCAAUGUCCGAAAGGGUGACGCAGCGACGCCGCGUGGAGGAUGAAGGCCCUACGGGUCGUAAACUCCUUUUGAGGGAGAAGAAUAGCCCGCUACAGGCGGGUUUGACGGUAUCCCCCGAAUAAGCACCGGCUAACUACGUGCCAGCAGCCGCGGUAAUACGUAGGGUGCGAGCGUUGUCCGGAUUCACUGGGUGUAAAGGGAGCGCAGGCGGAUUGGCAAGUCAUUGGUGAAAUUCUCAGGCUCAACUUGAGAACGUACAAUGAUACUGCUAAUCUUGAGUGCGGAAGAGAAAGACGGAAUUCCUGGUGUAGCGGUGAAAUGCGUAGAUAUCGGGAGGAAUACCAGUGGCGAAGGCGGCCUUCUGGACGAUGACUGACGCUGAGACGCGAAAGCGUGGGGAGCAAACAGGAUUAGAUACCCUGGUAGUCCACGCCGUAAACGUUGUGAGCUAGGUGUCGCGGGUAUUGACCCCUGCGGUGCCGUCGUUAACGCAUUUAGCUCACCGCCUGGGGAGUACGGUCGCAAGGCUAAAACUCAAAGGAAUUGACGG
rnacentral:rRNA from 1 species